rnacentral:rRNA from 1 species
GACAGAGGGUGCGAACGUUGUUCGGAAUUACUGGGCGUAAAGCGCAUGUAGGCGGCAAUGCAAGUCGGGCGUGAAAUCCCACGGCUCAACCGUGGAAGUGCACUCGAAACUGCAUAGCUAGAGUCCUGGAGAGGAAGGUGGAAUGCUUGGUGUAGAGGUGAAAUUCGUAGAUAUCAAGCGGAACACCGGUGGCGAAGGCGGCCUUCUGGACAGUGACUGACGCUGAGAUGCGAAAGCGUGGGGAGCAAACAGG